rnacentral:rRNA from 1 species
UCCCAGUUCGGAUUGUAGUCUGCAACCCGACUACAUGAAGCUGGAAUCGCUAGUAAUCGCGGAUCAGAAUGCCGCGGUGAAUACGUUCCCGGGUCUUGUACACACCGCCCGUCACACCAUGGGAGUCGGAAAUGCCCGAAGUCUGUGACCCAACCUUAGGGAGGGAGCAGCCAAAGGCAGGGUCGGAUGACUGGGGUGAAGUCGUAACAAGGUACC